GCGUUGAUGGCGCAGUGGUUAACGCUGCCGGCCACCGAUCUUUUGCCCACCCGGGUUCGAACCCAGGUGGUGGUU